rnacentral:rRNA from 1 species
AUUGAACGCUGGCGGCAGGCUUAACACAUGCAAGUCGAGCGGGGUGAUGGUGCUUGCACUAUCACUUAGCGGCGGACGGGUGAGUAAUGCUUAGGAAUCUGCCUAUUAGUGGGGGACAACAUCUCGAAAGGGAUGCUAAUACCGCAUACGUCCUACGGGAGAAAGCAGGGGAUCACUUGUGACCUUGCGCUAAUAGAUGAGCCUAAGUCGGAUUAGCUAGUUGGUGGGGUAAAGGCCUACCAAGGCGACGAUCUGUAGCGGGUCUGAGAGGAGGCACCGCCACCCUGGGACUGGGACCCGGCCCAGACCCCUACGGGAGGCAGCAGUGGGGAAUAUUGGUCAAUGGGGGGAACCCUGAUCCAGCCAUGCCGCGUGUGUGAAGAAGGCCUUAUGGUUGUAAAGCACUUUAAGCGAGGAGGAGGCUCUUUUGGUUAAUACCCAAGAUGAGUGGACGUUACUCGCAGAAUAAGCACCGGCUAACUCUGUGCCAGCCGCCGCCGUAA